GGGACACGUGGUAUCCUGUCUGAAUAUGGGGGGACCAUCCUCCAAGGCUAAAUACUCCUGACUGACCGAUAGUGAACCAGUACCGUGAGGGAAAGGCGAAAAGAACCCCGGCGAGGGGAGUGAAAAAGAACCUGAAACCGUGUACGUACAAGCAGUGGGAGCCUCUUUAUGGGGUGACUGCGUACCUUUUGUAUAAUGGGUCAGCGACUUAUAUUCUGUAGCAAGGUUAACCGAAUAGGGGAGCCGAAGGGAAACCGAGUCUUAACUGGGCGUUAAGUUGCAGGGUAUAGACCCGAAACCCGGUGAUCUAGCCAUGGGCAGGUUGAAGGUUGGGUAACACUAACUGGAGGACCGAACCGACUAAUGUUGAAAAAUUAGCGGAUGACUUGUGGCUGGGGGUGAAAGGCCAAUCAAACCGGGAGAUAGCUGGUUCUCCCCGAAAGCUAUUUAGGUAGCGCCUCGUGAAUUCAUCUCCGGGGGUAGAGCACUGUUUCGGCAAGGGGGUCAUCCCGACUUACCAACCCGAUGCAAACUGCGAAUACCGGAGAAUGUUAUCACGGGAGACACACGGCGGGUGCUAACGUCCGUCGUGAAGAGGGAAACAACCCAGACCGCCAGCUAAGGUCCCAAAGUCAUGGUUAAGUGGGAAACGAUGUGGGAAGGCCCAGACAGCCAGGAUGUUGGCUUAGAAGCAGCCAUCAUUUAAAGAAAGCGUAAUAGCUCACUGGUCGAGUCGGCCUGCGCGGAAGAUGUAACGGGGCUAAACCAUGCACCGAAGCUGCGGCAGCGACGCUUAUGCGUUGUUGGGUAGGGGAGCGUUCUGUAAGCCUGUGAAGGUGUGCUGUGAGGCAUGCUGGAGGUAUCAGAAGUGCGAAUGCUGACAUAAGUAACGAUAAAGCGGGUGAAAAGCCCGCUCGCCGGAAGACCAAGGGUUCCUGUCCAACGUUAAUCGGGGCAGGGUGAGUCGACCCCUAAGGCGAGGCCGAAAGGCGUAGUCGAUGGGAAACAGGUUAAUAUUCCUGUACUUGGUGUUACUGCGAAGGGGGGACGGAGAAGGCUAUGUUGGCCGGGCGACGGUUGUCCCGGUUUAAGCGUGUAGGCUGGUUUUCCAGGCAAAUCCGGAAAAUCAAGGCUGAGGCGUGAUGACGAGGCACUACGGUGCUGAAGCAACAAAUGCCCUGCUUCCAGGAAAAGCCUCUAAGCAUCAGGUAACAUCAAAUCGUACCCCAAACCGACACAGGUGGUCAGGUAGAGAAUACCAAGGCGCUUGAGAGAACUCGGGUGAAGGAACUAGGCAAAAUGGUGCCGUAACUUCGGGAGAAGGCACGCUGAUAUGUAGGUGAAGUCCCUCGCGGAUGGAGCUGAAAUCAGUCGAAGAUACCAGCUGGCUGCAACUGUUUAUUAAAAACACAGCACUGUGCAAACACGAAAGUGGACGUAUACGGUGUGACGCCUGCCCGGUGCCGGAAGGUUAAUUGAUGGGGUUAGCGGUAACGCGAAGCUCUUGAUCGAAGCCCCGGUAAACGGCGGCCGUAACUAUAACGGUCCUAAGGUAGCGAAAUUCCUUGUCGGGUAAGUUCCGACCUGCACGAAUGGCGUAAUGAUGGCCAGGCUGUCUCCACCCGAGACUCAGUGAAAUUGAACUCGCUGUGAAGAUGCAGUGUACCCGCGGCAAGACGGAAAGACCCCGUGAACCUUUACUAUAGCUUGACACUGAACAUUGAGCCUUGAUGUGUAGGAUAGGUGGGAGGCUUUGAAGUGUGGACGCCAGUCUGCAUGGAGCCGACCUUGAAAUACCACCCUU
rnacentral:rRNA from 1 species